rnacentral:rRNA from 1 species
GUCUAUGGCCAUGCCACCCUGAACAAACCCAAUGUCUGAUCUCAGAAGCUAAGCAGGGUUGGGCCUGGUUAGUACUUGGAUGAGAGACUACCUAGGAAGACCAGGUGCUGUAGGCA